AGUAGAACUGCAGGAUCAUAAGGUAAAUCUGUUUUUAAUCUUUCGAGGAAUUGCCAUAGUGUUUUCCAAAGUGAUUACAUUAUUUUAUACUCCACCCGCAGU
rnacentral:pre_miRNA from 1 species